rnacentral:rRNA from 1 species
AUCAAGUGUCUUAAGGGCAUUUGUGG